UGAUGUAUGAAAUUCUCAAAAUAAUAGGAA
rnacentral:piRNA from 1 species